GACAUUGAUCUUGGACCUUAAGGGCCA
rnacentral:sRNA from 1 species